GGGGGCGUAGUUCAGUUGGUUAGAACGCUGGCCUGUCACGCCGGAGGCCGCGGGUUCGAGUCCCGUCGCUCCCG
rnacentral:tRNA from 1 species